rnacentral:rRNA from 1 species
UACGUAGGGAGCGAGCGUUGUCCGGAUUCAUUGGGCGUAAAGAGCUCGUAGGCGGUUUGUCGCGUCGGGAGUGAAAUCCACUGGCUUAACUGGUGGCUUGCUUUCGAUACGGGCAGACUGGAGGUAUGCAGGGGAGAACGGAAUUCCUGGUGUAGCGGUGAAAUGCGCAGAUAUCAGGAGGAACACCGGUGGCGAAGGCGGUUCUCUGGGCAUGUCCUGACGCUGAGGAGCGAAAGUGUGGGGAGCGAACAGG